CCUCACAAAAAACCUACUAUAAGCUUUCUCCUUCUUCCUUUCUACUUUCAGAAAAUCAGAAAAAGCCCCAAAUUUAUAAAAUGGCAUCUUUUGCAGAGGCACCACCGGGGAACGAAGCAGCAGGGGCAAAGAUCUUCAAGACCAAGUGUGCUCAAUGCCAUACUGUUGAACAAGGUGCUGGUCGUAAACAAGGACCUAAUUUGAAUAGACUUUUUGGAAGGCAGUCUGGAACUACUGCUGGUUACUCCUACUCUGCUGCCAAUAAGAAUAUGCCCUGCACUAUCACUUUGGAUUGCCCUGGUUGCCCUCCUCUUAAAGCUCUAACUUUUGGCAUUCUUCGAUUAAUCAAAGUUAUUGAAGGUAAGGGUGAGCAAAAGGAAGCUCCUAAGGUGGUGGAGAGAUGGGGGGAGACUGAUGCUUCCAGGUGUGUGCUUGAUACGUCAAUUGUUGACCGUGAAUUUGACCCUGCGUAGCUGGUCCCGCUCCCGAGUGCUGAUUCAUUCCAGCUUCAGGGGGAUCUUCGAGGAGUGUUUAGAUUCAAGCGUAGCUGGUCCUGCUCCCGAGUGCUGAUUCAUUCCAGCUUCAGGUGGAUCUUCGAGGAGUCUUUAGGUAGCUGUUGUCGUUUCGUAGCCUGGAGCUCCUCUCUAUCUAUUUUUUUUACAGUCUUAGUUCAGUAAUUCAAACUCUGUAGUUACCUUUGAGGAUUUGGUACUGUUAGAUGCUCGUGAGUUGUGACACCCCACUUAGGGCUGUGUUGGGUUAUGUUUCCGCACUUCAUUGACAUUAUUCGCUACUUAAUACUGUUAAAUCAUGUUUUAGACUGUUUUAUGUUGUUUAACUGCUUAAAAAGGUAAAUUGGGUUUAGU